UAAACCAUGUAUUUAUCAUUCAGCUUAACAAUUAUUAACUUUAAAAAACCUAAUUACCAAAGCAUAUCCAAUCUUUUUUCAUCUGUACACUCCAUCGGGGUUAUUUUGAAGCAAAUCUCAGAUACCACAUAAUUUUGUCUCUAAGUACUUCAGUGUGGCUCUCUAAAAUAGUAAAACUCUUUAAAAAACCAUUAUAUCAACAUCACACCUAAAAUAAUUAAUUACUUGUUGGCAUCAAAUACCCAUUCAUUGUUAAAAUUUUGCAGAUUGUCUCCUUUAUUUUUUACAUUUGCUCAAAUCAGGACCCAAAGAAGGUCAAAUCAUUGCAGCGGAUUGAUGCGCCUCUCAAGUCUCUUGAGAUCUCCGAUUUUUCCUUUUCUUUUUUCCUCCCCUUCGGAAUAUAUUUGUUGGAGAAACCAAAUUAUUUGUCCCGUAGGCAUGGGUGUUGCUCACCGCAGUCACGUGCUAUCUUUUAGCAAGUGUCUCUGCUCUCUGGGCUUCUGGAGGUCAGAGCUCGGGGUCAGUUUUUUUUUUUUCUGUCAAGACCCCUCCACAGACGGUGCCGUGUGCCUCAGCUGGGACCACAGAACGCCCGGCUGUUCAUGAGCAGCGCCUCGGUUAUGCCGCUAGAGUUGGCGGGAUGGAGAUCUUCUCGUUUCUUAGACCCUCUUCUCUUCGGCCUGCUCCCUGCGGUGCUUCUGCGCUGGCUGUUUGAUGACCACAGUUCAGCUCACACAGGAAAGGCCAGGCGCACGCUCCGUUCUUUCCCCUUGUUUUCCUGUUUUCAAAAUACUAAGCUGGUUUCCUAGCAUCGCCCAGCCAGCCAGCUGCUGUGGCCGCUGUCCUGCCUGAGCGGCAGAGGGACAGACGGGUCUGAACAUGGAGGUGUGUUUCCGUCCGCGGCUGCUCUUAACUCUUCCUGAUGCUCAGACGGUCACAUCUUCCCGAGGGGCGCCUUGGAGAUGCGACGUUAACGAUGCCUCCCGUGCGUGCAGCCCUGAAGUGACGUGCAGCUGUGUGGACGUUAUCCAGCUCCUCUCACUCCGAAAGGCCUGUCAGGUUUCUGUGUGUGUGUUUCUUUUUUCUUCUAACUUUGUUGCAUGAGACACUCCUUUUCCCCAUCGCUGAUCCAUGGACGGUGGGUUUCUGUCACCUACACCGAGAACAUCCUAACUGGACAGGGCCCUGAGGGGAUCACACGAGGGGGACUCCUGGGUCCUGGCACGGCUCUGGGGUCAGUGGCUUCCCUGGCCCUCCCUCCCUCCCCACCAGGCCGUGGACUUGUGCAAGCCCAUGACCCAGCGCCGGGUGUAGGCCUGGAAGCCAUCAGGUCACUGAAUCGCUGCGUGACGAGGAUGAGUAAUGGGUGUCAGAGAAGGGGCCCAACCUGUGGGCCACCCAGGAUGUGGCACCUGAGGCCACCACUGUGUCCCCGUCAGCAGCAGGAGAGAUGCGGGCAUCUGUCCCCUCACACCGCCCACCCCAACCUGGACAAUGUGCACCUGGGCCCCAGUUACUCAAUGCUGGAAACCAGCCAAGCGUGGCCCCACCCUGGAGGCGAGUGGCUGGCACCACAAGGGGGAACGAGCAGGGUUAACGAGACGCAGUCGGAGCCUCUGCAGGGAUAAUGGGGUAUAAUGGGCUGCGACGGAGCACAGGCCGGUGGAUGGGUGUUCCCUGCCCCGCAGGCCCCAGGCUGGGUUCACACUUCACAUCGACAAUCCGCAGAGAAAACAGAUGUGAUUUUACAGGACAGUGGACCUAACUAAGCCGGCCCGUUUAGUCCUCUUCAGAAAGGAGGAAGGAAGCCACAGCUGGCCAGGGUACCUGACACUCUCCACCUGCAGCGGAAGACUUCAGAACGAGGCCAGAACGUUCCCGUGACCCCAGUAAAGCCUGCUAAUGCCCUCCGUCGGGGGAGCACGGUGCCGGAAGGCGCGACGCCGUGACCGAGGGCUGUGAGAACUGCUCCACGAGCCUCCUAAGUAGCGGGCAGGCCAUCGCUGGUGUUUCCCUUUCAGAUAGAAGAUGCACAGGGAACGUGGGCAAGUCCAGCGACGGGCCCGGCGCGGUGCAGCCAGGGUCGGCCAAGCCCGCUAGGGCCCUGGGGGAAACUGCCAAGCGCACGGCCUCGGGCUCCGCGCGGGCUUCCGGAACGCAGCCCGCCGGAGAGAAAAGUCAAGUGCUUCCUCCUUGCAGUACUGGGUCUUUUUAAUCUAAAAAUGAAUGACAUAAGCAAGUUUGCACAAGGCACGUUUUGAGACCUGCAGACAAGACUCUGGCAAGAAACUGGGGUGAGGGGGGCCUGGGGACCUGCUCCAGGUCACCCGUCCUGCUUCUGAUGAGCCCCCUGCCCCCACGUGCUGAAGAGAGGCGGGGUCCUGCCCUCAGACCUGAGCGGGCCCAGCUGGCUGGGGGUCAAACUGCAGGCGCGGAUGUUCUCACAGCUCUGGAGGCUGGACGUGCAAGGUCAGGGUGUCACGGGGGCUCCCCCAGAGGCCUCCCUCCUUGGCCUGUAGAUGCCGCCCUCUCCCCGUGUCCUCACACGGGCAUCCCUGUGUGUGUCUGUGUCGGAACCGUCUCUUCCUGUACGAGGGUCAGAGCCCACCUGUAUGACCUCCUCUUACCUUGAUCACCGCUGUAAAGCCCGUCUCCGAGUUCCGCCAUGCUCGGGAGUGCUGGGGGUUAGGACCUCAGCGUGUGAGUCCGGGGGACACAGUGCCGGUCGCAACACACUCUUAGAGGUGGUGAAGAUGGACGUCUCCUCUAAGGUGGGGCAGGUGGCUCGGCGGUCUGGGCGUUGGCUUCUGGUAACAGCAGCUGCGGUGGUUUCUACCAGCCCUCCUAGAGAAGCAGGACAGACAUGCUCUGUGUCUCGGACAUCAGAGAACUGAGACGGCACCGAGGAGCCGGGGGGAGGAGCCCAGGGAGGCGAGCCUGCCUGGGGGCUGCUUCUCCAACCAGGGGCACCUGCUGAUGCUGCGCUGGGGGCCGGGGGCUGGGGGCCUCUGGGUGCAGGGAACGGUCUGUUUCUUGACCCGCCGCUGGUUACACGGUGUGUUUAUCUUCUGGAGAUUCAUUGAGCUGAAUUCUGAUUCACUCUGACGAUUUGAGUACUUUUCUUUACAUGUGUUUUGCCUCAAAAAAAAAAGUCUUUUAAAAAAGACUUGGCAAUUAACCAACUAGAGUCCGAGGCCCAGCUCUGCUGCUUAGAAACGUGCCCUCAGGAAAGUUCCUCUUUUUCAAAACUUGAUCCGUUUAGGUGUAACAGGCAGAGCUAAGUGAUGGCCUCAGUGUUGUCCCGAGGUGUGUGUGAGAGUCCAGGCCACAGGCGCCUGGCACUGGUGGGGCUGGGCCUUCCCCAAGGACCUGCCCUGGGCCAGGCUCCGCCCUGCACCUUCACUGUGUCUCUCCCUGUGGUCUGUGAGCAGGGACACCAGCGUGCGGCCUGCUGGCAGCCUCGCUCUGGGUGGGCCCGGUGAGUACUUAGCAGAGCUGAGAUGCGGACUCAGGCCUCAUCCAGAACCAGGGCUGGGGACCCUUGUUUCCAUGGCCUGCUGAUCGCUCAGGACACGAAGAGUCCCACCCCACCUCCAGGUCUGUCCUCUGUGUCUGCUACGUGAACGCCACCUCAAGACUGACUUCCAGAAUUCGGUGUUGCUUCACAGCAGUUCCAGUUUUCCCAGACUAAACGUGCUUGUCCCCAUGAACUGGCUAGAAGCGGGAGGUAUUUAAUCCCAUCUCAAGUUGCCUAGUAAACAUUUCUACUGGAAAAUUCCAACCUUGCCUUGGACGGUCUGAGAGGAAAAGCAGCGUGUCCACACCCAGGCCAGCCCUGCCAGGGAGGCCAGAGGCCCCGAGGACGGGCUUCGUCGGCGAGGCCACCGCAGCGGCUCCAGCUGGAACUCGGAGGAGCCUGGACAGCGGCACUGAGGGAGGUGGACACUGGGGGCGUUGGCAGCGGCCACGGCUGCUCUGAAGCCCCAGGCCCGCCCCCCUUCCCUCCCCAACUCAUUUGUCCCUGUCUUUGUCCGCAGUCACAGCGUUUAUCCUGUGUCUGUUAUCCUGACUCCUUGCCAGACGGGGUCCCAGAGCCGGGCCCGGCCUUGGGCAGUGGGCAUCUCCAGUGUCUACGCAGCAUUUAGUACCUAACAGGUGCUUCUUGCCUGAAAUCACAUGGGGUGAGAUGGAAGUGGGGGAGGCCUGGGUGAGCAAAGGAGCUGGGGGGGUGAGUCACGGUGAGUAAGGCACACAGCACCUUGGGGGGCCCCAGCAGGGCUUUUAGCUUUUAAAUUAUUAUUAUUUUGGAAAGUUGAAAGGAUGUUGUCAGAUAGAUGCUCCCGUGGUUUGAGUCUGACGACGGUGAAGGCGGGUGGGCUUGGCAGAUGCCGGACUGGGAAGAGGGGCUGGGGGACGCGAAACCAGGAGGACCCUCAGGUCUUCGCACAAGGUGGCGCUCAUCUCUUGUCUUAGCUCCCAAACUCGUCCUCAAAUUGCUGCAGAGCAAUUAGGAGGGCCAUGAAGAGGUUCCGUGUCCACCCUCCUGCACCGCCUGCCACCUGCUUUGCAGCACUGUAGACGCCUGCACGUUGUUUUAUGUCCCCGUGAACCGGGGUACAGGGCUGUCCCACCCCGCACGGAACCAGGCCCUAAGCCAGCUUGAGCGCCGUGUUUGGGGUGGUGGCGCGGUGACUGGUUUGAGUCUCUUGUGUUGGAACCUGCGGCCUCAGCCAGGGGAGCCGUCGGCCUUACUCUGUAGUGCCGCGAGGUGACCUCUCACGCUGACCCGGUACUGCAGCCAGGCCUGGGCCUCUUCUUUGCAAGAGGAAGAACCUGCAUCUCUGAAUUGCACGCGAGGAGUUUUCUAAAAUGCAGACUGAGCAACCCAAGACAAACAGUGACGAAAUCACGUUUCUACCUCUUAAGCUUUUCCACUACCGCUGCGGCCAUAAUUGUUAACUAUCGGGGAUCAUGAACUUCAUCAGGUUCCUUCCCUUCACAUGAUUUUUCAGAAACCCCCAGGAGAACGCACUCCAGGCAUUUCACAGAACAAUGAGGCUAAUUCCAAAGAUGCUAACACGGCCUCCUUGACAAAUCUCAGAAUCUGCAGGUUGACCCUGUUUCCACCGGUUUUGAGAAAAUUCGCAGUGACCGUCUUUCCCCGCGUCAUGCCGCAGGGCUGAACAUCGAGGCUGGAGAUGCGAGUCCACUCGAUGUAGCAAUCUCGUUGCAUAAGGGAAAACAACACAUCUCCAACAGUGCGCCUGCAGGCAGUCUUUUAAGUGUCCCCAGCUGGUGAGAAUAACCUGUGGCGUUUCUGCGCCGCCUUCUAGUACCCAUGCCCUUACACCCAGGGAACGCUGUGGGCCCCUGGGAGGGGCCCAGAGGUGCGUCACUGUCCUGCUGUGUGGACGGGGGCAGUGACUCAGGAGUGCUCGUACAAGGUCACCAAACAGGUGAGUCUCAGAACUGGGCUUAAAACCCACCUCCCCUGGGUUCUGGCCUCCGCUGCUUCGCCACCCUUGUUACUCCUGGGGAACACGACAGCAUGCAGAAUCAGCAAAGCCUCGGCUUUUGUUCACGUUCUGGUCGGGAAUGUGGAUAGACAGAUGCGUCCCCACACAGGGGUCUGAUUAACUGUGAUGUGGGCUUCUGGGAGAAAGAGACAAGGCAGUGGGGUGCCCGGGAGGGAGGGGUGGGGUGCAGUUUUAAGGGGGCUCAGGCG